rnacentral:snRNA from 13 species
AGCUUUGCCCAGUGGCAGUAUCGUAGCCAAUGAGGUUUAUCCAAGGCGCGAUUAUUGCUAAAAAAAGAAAAAAAAAAAAGAAACCUCCACCAUCACCAUCAUACUCAAAAGCCAGUAACUCUACUUAUAGGCAAUUAUCUAGGGAAGCAAUCACAAAUG